rnacentral:rRNA from 1 species
AUGAAGACCUGUAUGAAUGGCUAUAUGAGUAUUUAACUGUCUCCUUUAACUAAUCAGUGAAACUGAUCUUUCAGUACAAAAGCUGAAAUACUUACAUAAGACGAGAAGACCCCGUGGAGCUUUAAANUUUUUAACAAAGCAUUACUAAAAGACGCUUAUGAUAAGAAAUUUUUAGUUGGGGCGACUUUGGAGAAAAACUUAACCUCCAAGAAAAGGUACCACCUAACUUUAGGCUUACAAGCCAAACUUCAUAGACCCAGUAUUAAAUACUGAUCAACGAACCAAGUUACCCCAGGGAUAACAGCGCCAUCUUCUUCAAGAGUUCAUAUCGACAAGAAGGUUUACGACCUCGAUGUUGGAUCAGGACACCCAAAUGGUGUAGCCGCUAUUAAAGGUUCGUUUGUUCAACGAUUAACAGUCCUACGUGA